UACAGAGGUCCCAAGCGUUGUUCGGAUUCAUUGGGCGUAAAGGGUGCGUAGGUGGCGGGGUAAGUCAGGUGUGAAAUCUCGGAGCUCAACUCCGAAACUGCACUUGAUACUGCCUUGCUUGAGUACUGGAGAGGAGAUUGGAAUUUACGGUGUAGCAGUGAAAUGCGUAGAUAUCGUAAGGAAGACCAGUGGCGAAGGCGAAUCUCUGGACAGUUACUGACACUGAGCACGAAGGCCAGGGGAGCAAACGGG
rnacentral:rRNA from 1 species